GUCAGCAGGAAUAGGAUUGGAGCUACCAGGAAUGGGAUUGAAGCCACCAGGAUAGGAUUGAAGCCACCAGGAUAGGAUUGAAGCUACCAGGAAUGGGAUUGGGAAUGGAACAUGAUAUGGAGUAAACAGGGACAUGAAAAGCCUGAAUUUCAAUCCCUCUUUAGGAACAUAAUCCUGACAGUUUCUGAAGAUAUCCAAUAAAUAUUCAAGAAACAAACUAUCUGGUUGAACAUGGCAAAGAAAUGCUUGCCUGCACAUUGAUCAUAUUUAUGAGUUGGUUGUAUACACUGUUUGAUGGAAGAAAAUAUUUUUGUGGUUGAAGUUCAUCAAUCAUGUUCAUCAACCAUGUCCAUCUGUUUAACCUGAGCCAACUGCAUAAAGUCAGCAGAAACAAAGCCAACAGAAACAUAAAAAGUACUUAUUUACCCAUGAAAGUAAACUAAUGCACUGAAUUAUGGAAAGACAACUAAUGUACAGUACUCUGUAAAAAGUAAGAGCUUUAUGAGAAAGAUGUCUCACUCAGUUAAGGUAAAGGUUAUGAGACUUGUAAUAAACAGCGGAUCAAAUUUCAGCAUUAUUGAAAGGUUAAAGAAAUAAACAGACAGUAAAAAUCUAUGCUUAUUUUUCCUGAGUAAAUAGUAUGAUAAUGGAUCGUCAAUCUGCUGAGAAAACAGAUCUGACAGGAAUAUAUCAGCAUCAGCGACUUAUUGCAUGCCAAAUCGUAAUCCUGCUUUUUUAUAUGGCACCACUUUCCCAUAAAAACCUUAGAUAUUCACAAGCGCUGCAAAUCUUUUUGGUGAUAAAAUCAGACGUGUUGAAUAAACUACAUGCAAUAUUUAUAAUCGGGCAAUAAAUAGGCUAAUGGCAAAAGGAAACUACAGCUCAAAAUAAGACCUAGUAGUUUAGAUUAGACGGUGCUUUCCGUGUACAAUGUCGAGAAAGCCAUUCAAGUGU